GAGAGCACACGCGGGGAGGAGGAGAGAGGGAAGACGCAGGAGGAAGUGGAAGGCGUCUCCUCUCUCGGUUGUCCUCCAUCUCUGGCCGGCCUCAGCGGCGCGCGCAGAGUCCCCGGAUGAGCCUUGGAGGAGACAGAUGUAGAUAAUACCUGGGCCUGAAAGCAACUCCUCUUAAAAUGUCAGCUCUAAGCAAUGAUUGCUCACAUUUGGAGUCUGUUGGUGAAAUCACUAAAGAAGACUUAAUACAAAAAUCUCAUGGCACUUGCCAGGACUGUAAAAUAAAAGGACCCAAUCUUUGGGCAUGUUUAGAGAAUCGAUGCUCAUAUGUUGGUUGUGGAGAAUCUCAUAUAGAUCACAGCACCAUACAUUCUCAGGAAACAAAGCACUGUCUGACAGUUAAUCUUACGACGUUACGUGUCUGGUGUUAUGCAUGCAGCAAAGAAGUGUUUCUUGAUAGAAAACUGAGAUCCCAUUCUUCGCUGCAAAAUGUACGGCUGUCUCACCAAACUCCGGACAUCAUCAUGCAGGACAUUAGGUUGCCUAGCAUCCCAACACUGAAAAUUCCUCUGAUUGCAACAUUUGAUGACCUAGAUAUACAAGUAGAUGAAGAAGAUGAAUUCAAAGCAAGAGGACUGACCGGUUUGAAAAACAUUGGGAACACUUGUUACAUGAAUGCAGCUUUACAAGCUCUUUCAAAUUGCCCACCAUUGACACAGUUUUUCCUUGACUGCGGAAACUUAGCUCGGACUGAUAAGAAACCUGCUAUAUGCAGAAGUUACUACAAGCUCAUGACUGAACUUUGGCAUAAAAGCAGACCUGGAGCCGUUGUCCCAACAAAUUUAUUCCAAGGAAUCAAAACAGUUAAUCCAGCAUUUCGAGGCUAUUCCCAACAGGAUGCCCAGGAAUUUCUGCGUUGUUUAAUGGAUUUGCUACAUGAAGAGUUAAAAGAGCCUGUUGUCACACUAGAGGAUACUAGCCCAACAAUCGCAGAAGAGAGAGGAGAAGAAGAGAGGAGCCAAUCAGAUGGAGAUUCUGAGUCAUGUGACAACACUGACAAAGAAGAAGCCGAAUCUUGGUCAAAACCUGUGAUAGAGAACCUUUCAGAGGAUGCGAUGUUAAUUGAGGAGGAUGAAAGUGUAUCAAAAGACCAUCAGAAUGAGAAAUCCUUGUGUACCAAGAUGAACCCAGCAGGUUCUAUGGAAAACAUAGAAAAAGAUAUAAACAAUUUAUUUGAAAUGGCUGAACUUUUGAAUAACCAAGAAACAGUGAAAGUGCAAAUACACAGCAGAUACUCAGACUAUGUCAAUGAUGUUCAUAUGAACGAUGUGUCGGCACCACAAAGUUAUUCUUCGAAGGAUGGAAGCAAUGCACGACUAUCAACCAGCCCCCCUAAGUCAGGUUCCUUCUGGUCUGGACUGGCAACCCCACACAAAAAGGUUCCGGUUGCACCAUCCUCUAAAAAGAAGAAACAUAAACAAUACAGGAGUGUUAUCUCAGACAUAUUUGAUGGAACUAUUGUAAGUUCCGUGCAAUGUCUGACAUGUGAUCGGGUGUCAGUUACCCUGGAGACUUUCCAGGAUUUAUCGUUGCCUAUUCCAGGUAAGGAAGACCUUGCUAAGCUGCACUCUGCAAGUCAUCAGACAUCUCUUGUCAAGGCAGGGUCAUGUGGUGAAGCAUAUGCUCCUCAAGGAUGGAUAGCUUUUUUUGUGGAAUAUUUCAAAAGGUUUGUUGUCUCAUGUAUUCCUAGCUGGUUUUGGGGUCCAACAGUUACCUUACAAGAUUGCCUCGCUGCCUUUUUUGCUAGAGAUGAACUGAAAGGUGACAAUAUGUACAGCUGUGAAAAAUGUAAAAAGUUAAGAAAUGGAGUAAAAUUCUGCAAAGUUCAACACUUUCCUGAGAUUUUAUGCAUUCAUCUCAAGCGAUUCAGGCAUGACCUUAUGUUUUCUACAAAAAUCGGGACCCAUGUAUCCUUUCCCUUGGAAGGGCUUGACCUUCAACCUUUUCUUGCUAAGGACAGUCCAGCUCAGAUAGUGAUGUAUGAUCUCUUAUCAGUCAUCUGCCAUCAUGGAACUGCCAUCAAUGGCCAUUAUAUAGCUUAUUGCCGGAACAACCUAAAUAACCGAUGGUAUGAAUUUGAUGAUCAGAGCGUCACUGAAGUAACAGAAUCUACUGUCCAAAAUGCCGAAGCAUAUGUUCUCUUCUACAGAAAAAGCAAUGAAGAAGCCAAAAGAGAGAGACAAAAGCUGUCAAAUCUCAAUGUGAUGGAACCAAGCCUCCUCCAGUUUUACAUUUCUCGACAGUGGCUGAAUAAAUACAGGACUUUUGCAGAGCCAGGACCUAUUUCAAAUAAUGAUUUCCUCUGCAUACAUGGAGGAGUUCCUCCAUACAAGGCUACAUCAAUUGAGGACCUGGUAGUAAUGCUGCCUCAGAACAUCUGGGAUAGCUUAUAUAGCAGGUAUGGUGGAGGACCAGCUGUUAACCAUCUGUAUGUUUGCCAUACUUGCCAAGUGGAAGCAGAGAAAAUAGAGAAAAGAAGAAAAACAGAACUGGAAAUGUUUGUUCGGCUCAAUAAGGCAUUCCAGGAAGAAGAUUCGCCGUCCAUAUUCUAUUGUAUCAGUAUGCAGUGGUUCAGAGAAUGGGAGGGGUUUGUGAAGGGCAAGGACAGUGAUCCUCCAGGAUCCAUUGAUAAUGCCAAAAUUGCUGUCAACAAAUGUGGUACUGUUGUUCUGAAACAAGGAGCUGAUUCUGGACAGAUUUCUGAAGAAACAUGGAAUUUUCUACAGUCAAUAUAUGGAGGAGGACCGGAAAUCGUACUAAGGCCACCGGUUGCCCAAAGUGAACCUGAAUCACUACAGAGUGAAGAUAAGAUUGAGUUAGAAACAUGUGCUCUGUAGCCAUCAACAGUGUGUUUUUAGGAGAGAUCUUCAACUCAAAAUACAUUCCCAAAAUCUUUUGUUUUGCUGUUUGGUCUGUGAGGUGACAAGACGUUGGGCAUUACUUCAUCUGUGGAAAAUCAAUUGGCACUUGUAUAGAGAUUCUAAAAGUAUAUUAGAGUUUUCAAAGACAGGUAUUCUCUUGAAAAUGUAACUUACUUGUCUCAUUUAAUUGUAAGUAUGUGAAGUACAGAUGGAAGAUUUAACCAUUCUUUUCAAUAGAUCUUUACAGACUUUUAAAUCAAAUUUAGUCGAGAUGAGAUUAAAGGAGAACCUUUAGAUGGAAAGAAGUGAAAUUUAACAAAUGAAAUUAUGGUUCUAAUUUCCUAUGAAAACUCAGGAAAAGUUAGAUGUUGCUUUUAUUUGCACUGCAGUAUAGAAGAAACAUAAUGAACUAAACUGUCAAAUCGUUUUGUUUCAGUGUGUCAGGUAUAUGAAUGAUUCAGAUAGAACAUUGUUUUUGUUAGCAGAUAUAAAUAAGGUCCUAUCUAAUGUUUAAGACAACUUUGACAUAUAUAUAAUCUAAUAUAAUCAAUAGUGUAUGUAUUUAAGCAAAACCAUACUUGUUAAGAGUGUUCUUGAGUGCAUGAAGUGGGUAUGUUUAUUGCUUGUGCAUUGGAGGAAUUUUCUAAACUUUUUUAAUGCACAGUUUCAUGUGGAAAGAAAUAUUGUAUAGUUAGGCAAUGCUCAUUGGCAUGAUUUAUGAUGUCAGACGUUGACUUGAAUCCACACAAGAAGAUUGCAAAAGCAUUCUUGAUUAUUCAUAUUGAAGUGUUGAAUGUCACCCAAAUGUCUUUCUUCCUGAAUAUUGCUACAAUACAAGCAAUAUUAUUAAAUGCUAGUUCAAUAAAAACAGUUUUUAAAAUGUUAAGGUGUUUGAAAAUUAUCCAUAGUGAAAAGCUGUGUGUUUAGGAAUAUAAAUGAGCACUACAGUAUCCAGUGUGAAAAAUGAAAUCGUUUUGACUGGAGAAACCUUCAAAAGCUUCUUUAAAAUUUCAGCACUUCCCAUUGAAAUGACAAUCAGGCACAACUGAAAAAGGUCAGCAAGAACUUUCUCCAAAUUCUCUUAAAAUAUUAGUGAAUUGUGGUUAUAACUGUCAUACUCUAUUCUGGUAUGAAGCUUUGUAUUGAAACUGUUUCACUACAUGAUGAAGCACAAAGCAGUCCUUGUUCAUAAGGACAAUUCAGUGAAGAUAAAAACAUCCAUAUGGAAGAAAUCUUAUCCCCCACAUCAUUUUGUUACAGUGGCUUUAGAUUCUCUGUAUGCAUAUGGGGUGCGUGGGUGACCUUAAAUUGUUUGUCAUGUUUUGGUCAAUUAGAAAUACUGGGUUUGCAUUUCAUCUGUCUGUGUCUUGGAAAACAAAACACAUAAAAUACCCUUGGUAUUUUGGUAUAAACCAAACUAAUAUCAUAGCUGCUGGAAAGUAGCAGUUCCUGUUCUCCAAUAUAAUUAGUUAUAACCUAACUGGAUAGAUAGGUCCAGUCUGCCUUUAUAAGUUAAAAGGACAAUAUUGGUUUUAACUUCUUUCCCUUUCAAUGAAAAUUGAAAUGUUUUAUCUGUCUGCAAGUCUUUUCAUAGUGAGAGUGUGACACAGUUGUGUAUCUCUUAUCCAAAAUGCCUGGGCCCAGAUAUGUUUUGGAUUCUGAAUUUUUUAGAUUUUGGAAUAUUUGUAUGCACUUAAUGAAAUAGACCCAAUUCUAAACACAAAAUUCAUUUAUGUUUCUUACACACCUUCUACAGAAUAGUUAGCGGAUUUUGUAUGGGAAAAGUAACGUAUUUCUCUUACUUAGCCCCUACAGUGUAUUAUUAUUCAAAACAUUUAUUGAAUUGCAGACUAGUUUCUAAGGAAAACUAAAGCAUUAGUUGGUUUAACUGUAUUGCACGUAUUUAUCUAGCUACCUUUCUGUAAUAUACUGUUUCAAGAAAAUAUGUCCUGGUUCCUAUAGCAACCGAUCUCUCUCUUCUCGCCACCUUUCAAAUUGUAGAUCAAAAAGAACUGAAAUGUUGCAUAGACUGACAUUUUUACAUGCUUGUGUCCUUCAUCCCAACCAGAGCAAAUCUUCAAAAAGAGACACAAAGCGUUUGAUGAGAUUUUUCAACCCAAUUAGUUGAACUUCCUCUUUGCCAGAAUUCUAAUUGCUCUUAUUUCUGUGGAUUAAACGUUGACGAUGAAUCAAAAUUGCUAAUUAAAACUUUGAUCAAGUUAUGGGCUAAAUCCCAUGCUUCACUGCUUUCUUUCCCUCCCACUUCCACUGUCUUUACAAUCUGAAAACCUACACGGGGGGGGGGGGGUUCCCACUCCCCAGGGGCACAUCUUCAUUGGAGCCUGGUGAUAAAAGACCCCACCCUGUUUCCCAGUAAAGGCCAUAUUCUGGAUUGACCCUGGGGUAUUCUGUCUCUGUAGAACCACACCAGGACAAGUUUUUAGGGAGUUGUUGAGGUUGCUGUGAGAAGGUGGGAGGACUGAUUGCCUGCCAGCCAGUGAUGCUCAAUCCUGCUUCUAUAUGCAGAACACCACUACUGCAUAUUACCAUAUCCUUCUAAAGUACUGAAGAACAUUUUGUAUUUAAUCAACUUCCUUCUUACAAAAAAAGGCAGAAUAGUACAGUAGAAGCGAUGCGAUAGCUCUACUCUGAACUGAAUUUGAAGUAGAAGUCUUCUAGGUGAAUGUUAUUACCAAAGCAAAAAAAGCUCAAAUAAAGGCGACUGAAAUUAAAUCAGACUACUGUUCAUUGUCAGAAUUGACCCAAUUUAGUUACAUGACCUAAGCUUUAAUCACAAUGUCAUUUUAAUUUCCAUCUUGCCAUUACCAUAUGAACUCAAUAAAUGCUUGAAAAGAAGGGAUCUUGAGUACACUUUGGAGCAGUUUCAGUGCCACAAUAACAUUCCCACAGUUCUGAAGGUCGUCUUUUCAAAUAAAUCAACCAAUUCCGACUAUAAAACCUUGUGUGUAUCAAAGGGAAUCAAAAAGAUCGUUGUGUUCUAGAAAUAGAAGUUCUAAGUAAAUGUCACAGCAAAUGUGAUGCUUUGUUCUUCCACUGUCCAUCAUAAAAAAUGUAUGAUGUUAAAUCAUUGUACUAUAAGGUGUGUUUAUGGGCUUCUAUUUUGGUUGGUAUUUAAGCUACGACAGAGCAUAUGAAAAACUGCUGGAUCAGAUUCAAGCCUUUUUUGUCCAAUCAUUUAUUUUCAGUGAUCAAUCAAUUACUUAUGGGAAGACUACCUAAAGGACAUUAUUGUCUAAGGCUUAAAGGUUGAUGGCUUCGAAUGAACAGACAUUUUGUUUCAGGAAAAAUCUGGCUUAUAAAUGUUAUGAUGCAUCUUCACAAUAAUGCUCACUACUAACUAUAACUAGAGACUAGAGUCUGCCUUUAAGAACCAUAUAUAGAACACAAGAUUGGAAGAAAGCUAUGGAAAACAAAUCAUUCUAUUCAGAUGGUCUAAUGAACAAUGUUUAAAGAUAUGGCAACAUCUGCAUUGUUCUUUGCAAAAUCUCCCUCCCACCAAUUAAAAAUAAACUUUAAUACUGACAGUUUAUAUCUUGUCUCGGAAUAUGAAAUAGCGCAGGAUAAGCAUAGCUGUUAAUACAUGAUUUUAAAAAUGAUUUGUGUUAAAGGAAUUAGGAAAUUCUAUUUCUGUGUUUUGUGAUUCUUUUUACAAUGAUGUCACGAUUUCCAUAGAAUAGGAAUAAUUCCUAUUUAAAAUUUAAAAUUUUAGUUUUACAUUUAGGUCAGUUGGUAUAAGUGACAUAAAUUAUUAUAUGAGUCUCUGAUAAAUGUCCUUGCUUCACUUUUAAGCUUUAAACUACUUUUCAGGAUUCAAAAGUCCAUGUUUCCCCUUUAAUUAAAAGUUGGAUGACAAAUUUAUGGAAUAAUGGCUGGACACUCAGUAGAAUCUUUGAUCUCCAAGUGAUUUAUACCGUUUGAGUUUCAAAUGUUAGACUUCACAAUUAAACAAAUCAAAUUCUCAUUGUAUGUUUUGGUAUAUUAAUAUAGAGGUUAUAACACUUAAUCAGGAUGCAAAAAAGGGUGUAUUACUAGAAACAGCCAACCUUGUGAAUCUUUGCUUGAAACAAAGGAUGAGAGUGCUGUGUGUUGAUCAUUUUCUGCUCAGGUUUUAUGCUUUAAGCACUUUUAGCCUCAGGGUCCAGGCCUUCUCUCUGUACUACAUUUUCUUCCUUUAAAGACUGCAAUAUACUUGCCUUUUAAAGCUUUUUCCCCCCGUUAAACUUUCUUUCUCUCAUUGUUGUUGUAUUUUUAAACACCUUUUGCUUGGAAAAAAACCCUUUUGGAUUAAGGACUUUUGGCUUUUUGGACAUUUUGUUUUAAUUUAAUUUGAAUUUUAUUUUGUUUGCUGUAAUCGUCUAAAAAUCUUGGGCUGUCCAUCAGAGUGGUAUAUAUACAUUUCUUUAAUAACCAGAGUUAAACAUUGUUAUGUACCACUAGAAUGGAUUAAAGAUUAAACUGAGCUUCAAUGUUUAAUGUUUAUUCUGAUUUGUUUUCUGAACUACUAUUUGUCAUCUAUUAUAUUUUGAUAACAAUUUACUAUUUCAUCAUGUUAAUGACAUGCUAACUGCUUAAUUAUUACACCUUGUUUUAGUACAUAUUUAUUGCUUUAGUUGCUAUGCUUGUUAAUAUUAUUACCACUUGUACUAUUGCAUUAUUCACUAUAUUUAUAAUCAUCAGUUGCUUUUCACCAUUUUGUCUAUCACUACAAUACAUUUUAUUUAUUUA